rnacentral:rRNA from 1 species
ACGCUGGCGGCGUGCCUAAUACAUGCAAGUCGAACGAACUCUGGUAUUGAUUGGUGCUUGCAUCAUGAUUUACAUUUGAGUGAGUGGCGAACUGGUGAGUAACACGUGGGAAACCUGCCCAGAAGCGGGGGAUAACACCUGGAAACAGAUGCUAAUACCGCAUAACAACUUGGACCGCAUGGUCCGAGCUUGAAAGAUGGCUUCGGCUAUCACUUUUGGAUGGUCCCGCGGCGUAUUAGCUAGAUGGUGGGGUAACGGCUCACCAUGGCAAUGAUACGUAGCCGACCUGAGAGGGUAAUCGGCCACAUUGGGACUGAGACACGGCCCAAACUCCUACGGGAGGCAGCAGUAGGGAAUCUUCCACAAUGGACGAAAGUCUGAUGGAGCAACGCCGCGUGAGUGAAGAAGGGUUUCGGCUCGUAAAACUCUGUUGUUAAAGAAGAACAUAUCUGAGAGUAACUGUUCAGGUAUUGACGGUAUUUAACCAGAAAGCCACGGCUAACUACGUGCCAGCAGCCGCGGUAAUACGUAGGUGGCAAGCGUUGUCCGGAUUUAUUGGGCGUAAAGCGAGCGCAGGCGGUUUUUUAAGUCUGAUGUGAAAGCCUUCGGCUCAACCGAAGAAGUGCAUCGGAAACUGGRAAACUUGAGUGCAGAAGAGGACAGUGGAACUCCAUGUGUAGCGGUGAAAUGCGUAGAUAUAUGGAAGAACACCAGUGGCGAAGGCGGCUGUCUGGUCUGUAACUGACGCUGAGGCUCGAAAGUAUGGGUAGCAAACAGGAUUAGAUACCCUGGUAGUCCAUACCGUAAACGAUGAAUGCUAAGUGUUGGAGGGUUUCCGCCCUUCAGUGCUGCAGCUAACGCAUUAAGCAUUCCGCCUGGGGAGUACGGCCGCAAGGCUGAAACUCAAAGGAAUUGACGGGGGCCCGCACAAGCGGUGGAGCAUGUGGUUUAAUUCGAAGCUACGCGAAGAACCUUACCAGGUCUUGACAUACUAUGCAAAUCUAAGAGAUUAGACGUUCCCUUCGGGGACAUGGAUACAGGUGGUGCAUGGUUGUCGUCAGCUCGUGUCGUGAGAUGUUGGGUUAAGUCCCGCAACGAGCGCAACCCUUAUUAUCAGUUGCCAGCAUUAAGUUGGGCACUCUGGUGAGACUGCCGGUGACAAACCGGAGGAAGGUGGGGAUGACGUCAAAUCAUCAUGCCCCUUAUGACCUGGGCUACACACGUGCUACAAUGGAUGGUACAACGAGUUGCGAACUCGCGAGAGUAAGCUAAUCUCUUAAAGCCAUUCUCAGUUCGGAUUGUAGGCUGCAACUCGCCUACAUGAAGUCGGAAUCGCUAGUAAUCGCGGAUCAGCAUGCCGCGGUGAAUACGUUCCCGGGCCUUGUACACACCGCCCGUCACACCAUGAGAGUUUGUAACACCCAAAGUCGGUGGGGUAACCUUUUAGGAACCAGCCGCCUAAGGUGG